rnacentral:rRNA from 1 species
UACGUAGGGUGCGAGCGUUAAUCGGAAUUACUGGGCGUAAAGCGUGCGCAGGCGGUUUUGUAAGCCAGGUGUGAAAUCCCCGGGCUCAACCUGGGAAUGGCAUUUGGGACUGCAAGGCUGGAGUGCGGCAGAGGAGACUGGAAUUCCUGGUGUAGCAGUGAAAUGCGUAGAUAUCAGGAGGAACACCGAUGGCGAAGGCAGGUCUCUGGGCUGUAACUGACGCUGAGGAGCGAAAGCGUGGGGAGCGAACAGG